rnacentral:rRNA from 1 species
CUUCGCGUAGCGCCUGCUCCCCUCCUGCCGCCGCAAUCGACUCAGGUCGUUCCUCUUCCCUACCCUCUAGCAACGACGCCGACGGCAACACGACAGUUAAGAUAACACCGAUGUUCUCGCUCGACAGGGGAGGUGGAUCGUCCGCUCGUUGUGCUCGCUGCUCGCUGGACAGAGGAGGUGGAUCGGUGACGGGGGAAUCCAGGCGCGCCCGAUGCGUGCGACGCGCUCCAGCGGGAUCCAGGCGAAGCGCCCGGCGACACUGGUGACCCGUCUAGGUGACGGCAUGACGAGCACGCGAUUCGGGCGACUCCAGCCGACGCGCUCGAGCGGGAUCCAAGCAAAGCAUGCGGCGGUGCCGGCCGCGACCACGACGACUUCGAUCCAGCAGCGGACCGGCCACUAUUCUGUCUGUUUAUCUCGCUGUCCACAUCUCCUGCCAGAGUUGAUUCCAGCCCCUAGCAGGCUAGCACCAACUCUCCACCUUGGGUUCGUCUGGUAUGAAUUCAGUCACCGGACGCUAGCACUCCUCCCUGCCAGAUGGUUCUGGCUGCCUGUGUACCUACAGGAAAAUCCUCCUUUUUGUUAGGACAGAGAUUAUUCUUGGGAUUUUAAUUGCAAUAAUACUACACCUACGAAACUGUUACCA